GUAGAUGGUGUUGUCCUGACGAGCCCAGAGUUAGAAAAGUAACACCUCGUGAUCCGUAUGUGACACAAACACAAUUCAAUGGAACAAGCACAAACAUGUAUGGACCUCAUCUUUGGACCAUUGGUAAUGUCAAUUUUCAGCUCCAAAUGGGCUCAGUCAUUUUUGAGCAAAGUAGGUACUGAAAAGAGGCUGGAACCAUGUAACCUUUACUAGUGGGAAAUCCAACAACCAAACAGAGCCCAGUUUAGCCAUGCUGAGUAGAUGCCGGUGAAAAGUUUCCCGAACUGAUCCUGCUUUAAACUUCUCGAUGACUUUCUCCCUGACCUGUCUGCCGGGUAUGUCGGUUUCCACGAUGCUGUUGGUUCACCAAAGUUCUCAGUGGUCCUUCGGAGAGCUACAGAGAUCAAAUUAAACCCACGGAGGUAAAAUGAAUGAUUAGGCAAGCUCUGAAUGCAGCUGGUUGGGGUUUUAUUCAGGGUUAUUAGAGCAAAGACCGCUGAGAUAAAUGCACACUUCUAAGAGCUUUAUAAAACGUUUUGAAUACAGUUUUAGUUCCUGUCUUAUUUGCAAUAAUGCACUACUUUUGUUUUGGUCAGUCAGAUAAAAUUACGAGACUUGUUGAAGUUUGCGGUUGUGACGUGAGAAAACGUAAAAAUACAAGGGAUGUUGCUGACUCUGGAAAAUGCUCUCUGUCCAGCCGGUUGUCUUGACGACCUGCAACCAGUAGCUUUUGAGCACGGCGCCUUAUGAGCGGACUAUCAUGCAAAACAGAGUAGCACCACUUAUGGUCAACGAUUUGAUGGAAUCAUUUGUGACUGAGAUGGGAAAGGAUGAGAAACAAAACACCUCGGCGACGAUCCUAUGAAGCUGUUUAACCUCCCUGCUAAAAAAAAACAAAUAUGGUGACCGGAUUGAGACAAAUAUCAGUUAUUCUGGCAGGAAAUUUGUCACUGAAUAUGUCAAAGUGAGAGCGUCUCUCUUGCAGGCAGAGCCAGAAGAAAAGACAAAAGUUUUCACAUGAUGACAUCGGUUAAAUUCAAAGCCGACUUGAGUUUUUUUUUUUUUUUUUUUUUUUUUUUAAACAACUUGUCUGUGGUUCGUCUAAUUGAGAAGGAGUUGUGAGACUUUCAGAAAUCCUGGCUCCGCGCCACGCACUCCACUGUACUCCACGAAGAUUGAGUCAUGAAUUCAUUUAUCAGAGCUUGCAAAUGCAUUUGAAUCUUAUAUGAGGGAUUCUCUUUCUUCCCUCAAACGGUUGGAAGUAAUGUAAUCCCAGCCUCUUUUUAUUAUAUCUGAGUAACCCUAAAAAAGAGAGAGAAAAAGCAAGCUCUGCCACUGAAUUAAUAAAAAUGUGCGUUGUAGCCUCCAGUGAGAACUUGAUGUGAAAUAUUUGCAUUACCAUAUGGCUCAGCUUUGAACAGGUUCAAGUGAUCCUUCUUUUUUUUUUUUUUUUCUUGUUCGACGCUACAGCGUUUGUAACGUACAGAAAGCAGAUCUAGCUGCUGCAUGAAUCGGACAGAAAGGCCUCUUGUCUCCCAGCUUUCUUGGCUUCCUCUCAGUUGUCAUCUCCCUCAGGUUGCACCCAGUCUAGACCUGAGAAAGCCUUUGACCCCUGGAGUCUUUCGGUGCCAGUUAAUGUUCCUGGCGUGGCGGACAUGUUUAGCACCUGCUGGGGAGCUGCUUGACCUGAAUUACUCCCGCACAGAGGCAGCUGCUGUGGCUGGAGCUUAAAAAUAUCACACCUUUCCCUCUCAUUAGGAAAGGGAACUGUUGAUUAUGAUGAUGAUGACAUAUUGUGCUUACCUGAAGAAUGGUUCCUCUCAGGGGACAGCUGUGAGAAAUGGUGGCCAAAUGUUGUGAACUUCGUUCAGCUUCGGUUUGUGGCUGGUGUCCCCCGACCCCGUGACCCUGCAUCGAAAAGCAGGUGUAGACCAUGGAAAAUAAAAGGAUGGGUCAUAUCCAUCCACAAAGGGCCGUACAGAACGAUUCAGGCCUCUUGAACUUUCCCACAUUUUGUCAUGCAAUUUCAUUUUAUCUGUUUGAAAGGAGCAGGUAGAAGAUACAAGACCUUUCCUGCCCAUUUCAUACUCAACAUUUAAAUCUCCAAACACCAUAGUAACUUAAAUUACUUCCACAUUACAUGCCACUUAAAUCUCACAUUCUCAUCCUUAAAUGUACAAUUACUAAAAAAUUUUUAAAUAUCAUCAAUAGCAGUUUUGGUCUUUGAAACCUGCCAGCAAGGACACGUUAUGAGUUAGUGUCAUUUAUGAGAGACAUACUGUAAAUGAUGUAACGUACCAGGUCAAUAUGUCAUGUUAUUCUGGAACUAGACUGUCUAGAAAUAUAAAGAUAAAGGGCAGCAAAUGACUAAAUGAUAAUCAAAUCAAUGAUUUAAUUUAAAGAAACAUUUUUCCAACAGUAAGCCAGAUGUUUCCACUGUUUUGCUGCUGAAAUGUUCAGUUUUUGCAUAAUUUUUGUAUUUUCUGUAGCAUAUAUUGUUCAGCUUUCUCAGACAAGGUCUCUGUUAGGUUAAUAUGCUUCUCCUACUUGACCUUCGACCUGUACAUGAGUUGUCCAGGGUGUACCCAUGUUUUUCAGUAAUUGAAUUUUGGAGAUAGAGAGCAAGUCCCUGAAAGGAUUAAAGCGACAUACGAAGUAGCCCGUUAGCAUCCAGAGCAACAUGUUAGCAUGCAGAUAUCGGUUGGUGAGCUAUCGUCGUGUUCAUAAAGAAAUCAAGCCGAGCUGAACUGAAGCCAGUGGGGGGCAUCCCUGGGCAUACCACCAGCAGAGACCGUCGCGGCUCUUGUUUCUGUUUUCAUCUUCGCCACCCACCUUCUGUGUUGCAUCUCAGCAGAACAGCUUGGAAGAUAUGAAUGGCGUUUCAGUCAUCUGACCCCUGGAGGGCAGCGCUUCAGAGAUCCACAAGCUUUUUGUCCGUAUAUUUAGACGAAAGCUAAAGAGCCUUCUCACCUCUUCCUGCAUUAUGAAGUGUUGCUAUUAAUAAACUCACUACGCCUCACCACUUCUCCCUCUCCAUUCACUCUCUGAAACCGGGCCUAAAGCUGAGGAUGAAUGAACGGAGCAACAGGGGGCCACCUGGGGGCGGUUGGAGGUCAUGAUAUUGAGAUAGUGUCUGCUGCUGUGUCCAUGCAAAUGCUCACCCCUCCUCCACGGAGUGAUAGGGAAAGAGAGAGAGAGGCAUCUAUUCCACAAGCCACAAUCGUUGCACGGAGACCUCCAUGGCUAAU